GAUGAACGCUGGCGGCGUGCCUAAUACAUGCAAGUCGAGCGAACGGACGAGAAGCUUGCUUCUCUGAUGUUAGCGGCGGACGGGUGAGUAACACGUGGAUAACCUACCUAUAAGACUGGGAUAACUUCGGGAAACCGGAGCUAAUACCGGAUAAUAUUUUGAACCGCAUGGUUCAAAAGUGAAAGACGGUCUUGCUGUCACUUAUAGAUGGAUCCGCGCUGCAUUAGCUAGUUGGUAAGGUAACGGCUUACCAAGGCAACGAUGCAUAGCCGACCUGAGAGGGUGAUCGGCCACACUGGAACUGAGACAAGGGCCAGACUCCUACGGGAGGCAGCAGGAGGGAAUCUUCCGCAAUGGGCGAAAGCCUGACGGAGCAACGCCGCGUGAGUGAUGAAGGUCUUCGGAUCGUAAAACUCUGUUAUUAGGGAAGAACAUAUGUGUAAGUAACUGUGCACAUCUUGACGGUACCUAAUCAGAAAGCCACGGCUAACUACGUG
rnacentral:rRNA from 1 species